UACGUAGGGGGCGAGCGUUGCCCGGAUUCACUGGGCGUAAAGCGCGUGUAGGCGGUCUGUUAAGUCGUAUGUGAAAUCUCCGGGCUCAACUCGGAAACUGCAUCCGAUACUGGCAGACUUGAGGAUGGUAGAGGUCGGUGGAAUACCAGGUGUACCGGUGAAAUGGGCAGAUAUCUGGUGGAACACCAGUGGCGAAGGCGGCCGACUGGGCCAAUCCUGACGCUGAGGAGCGAAAGCAUGGGGAGCGAACAGG
rnacentral:rRNA from 1 species